GACGAACGCUGGCGGCGUGCUUAACACAUGCAAGUCGAACGGAAAGGCCCUGCUUUUGUGGGGUGCUCGAGUGGCGAACGGGUGAGUAACACGUGAGUAACCUGCCCUUGACUUUGGGAUAACUUCAGGAAACUGGGGCUAAUACCGGAUAGGAGCUCCUGCUGCAUGGUGGGGGUUGGAAAGUUUCGGCGGUUGGGGAUGGAUUCGCGGCUUAUCAGCUUGUUGGUGGGGUAGUGGCUUACCAAGGCUUUGACGGGUAGCCGGCCUGAGAGGGUGACCGGCCACAUUGGGACUGAGAGACGGCCCAGACUCCUACGGGAGGCAGCAGUGGGGAAUAUUGCACAGUGGGCGGAAGCCUGAUGCAGCAACGCCGCGUGCGGGAUGACGGCUUUCGGGUUGUAAACCGCUUUCGCCUGUGCCGAAGCGUGAGUGACGGUAAUGGGUAAAGAAGCACCGGCUAACUACGUG
rnacentral:rRNA from 1 species